rnacentral:rRNA from 1 species
AUGAAGCCAGCUUGCUGGUGGAUUAGUGGCGAACGGGUGAGUAACACGUGGGUGAUCUGCCCCAAACUUUGGGAUAAGCCUGGGAAACUGGGUCUAAUACCGAAUAUUACCUUCUCCUGCAUGGGGGUUGGUGGAAAGCUCCGGCGGUUUGGGAUGGGCCCGCGGCCUAUCAGCUUGUUGGUGGGGUAAUGGCCUACCAAGGCGACGACGGGUAGCCGGCCUGAGAGGGCGACCGGCCACACUGGGACUGAGACACGGCCCAGACUCCUACGGGAGGCAGCAGUGGGGAAUAUUGCACAAUGGGCGCAAGCCUGAUGCAGCGACGCCGCGUGAGGGAUGACGGCCUUCGGGUUGUAAACCUCUUUCACCAGGGACGAAGCGUGAGUGACGGUACCUGGAGAAGAAGCACCGGCCAACUACGUGCCAGCAGCCGCGGUAAUACGUAGGGUGCGAGCGUUGUCCGGAAUUACUGGGCGUAAAGAGUUCGUAGGCGGUUUGUCGCGUCGUUCGUGAAAACUUGGGGCUUAACUCCAAGCGUGCGGGCGAUACGGGCAGACUUGAGUACUACAGGGGAGACUGGAAUUCCUGGUGUAGCGGUGAAAUGCGCAGAUAUCAGGAGGAACACCGGUGGCGAAGGCGGGUCUCUGGGUAGUAACUGACGCUGAGGAACGAAAGCGUGGGUAGCGAACAGGAUUAGAUACCCUGGUAGUCCACGCUGUAAACGGUGGGUACUAGGUGUGGGUUCCUUU